CGGGGUGCACCAGGAGCGAAUACUCUACAAUGCUUGCAACUGCAAUUCGGGAGACAUCUAGUGAUACUCAUCUUGGGUGUCUGUCCUCCCGUCUAAAAAACGGGAGUAUACCAAGGGCCGGGCAAUACCGGUGCCAACCGCCGCGGUAAUACCGGCGGCUCGAGUGGUGGCCUAUAUUAUUGAGUCUAAAGGGUCCGUACCCGGAUUUGCAAGUCUUUUGGGAAAUCCAUCGGCUUAACCGUUGAGUCCUCCGGGACAUACUACAUUGCUCGGGACUGGGAGAGGUACGAGGUACUCAGGGGGUACGAGUGAAAUCAUGUAAUCCUUUGGGGACCACCGGUGACAAAUGCGUCCUACCAUAACAAGUCUUACGAUGAGGGACUAAAGCUAAGGGCUCGAACCGGAUUAGAUACCCGGGUAGUCGUAACCGUAAUUGAUGCUCCCUAGGUGUCACAUGAUUUUUAAAUUGCUGUACUGCCAUAUGUAAACCGUGAAACUAGACGUUUGCUAAUUACCAUUGCCGGGUUUAAACUUAUUUGACUUGUGGUGCAACCAC
rnacentral:rRNA from 1 species